rnacentral:rRNA from 1 species
GAUGAACGCUGGCGGCGUGCUUAACACACGCAAGUCGAGCGAAGCGAUUUUAAGGAAGCUUUCGGGUGGAAUUAAAAUUGACUGAGCGGCGGACGGGUGAGUAACGCGUGGGUAACCUGCCUCAUACAGGGGGAUAACAGUUAGAAAUGACUGCUAAUACCGCAUAAGCGCACAGUGCUGCAUAGCACAGUGUGAAAAACUCCGGUGGUAUGAGAUGGACCCGCGUCUGAUUAGGUAGUUGGUAGGGUAACGGCCUACCAAGCCGACGAUCAGUAGCCGACCUGAGAGGGUGACCGGCCACAUUGGGACUGAGACACGGCCCAAACUCCUACGGGAGGCAGCAGUGGGGAAUAUUGGGCAAUGGGGGAAACCCUGAUCCAGCGACGCCGCGUGAGUGAAGAAGUAUUUCGGUAUGUAAAGCUCUAUCAGCAGGGAAGAAAAAGACGGUACCUGACUAAGAAGCCCCGGCUAACUACGUGCCAGCCGCCGCGGUAA